rnacentral:rRNA from 1 species
GAUGAACGCUAGCGGGAGGCCUAAUACAUGCAAGUUGAGCGGUAAGGUUCUUCGGAACCCUAGAGCGGCGCACGGGUGAGUAACGCGUACAUGACCUACCUUUAAGACUGGGAUAGCCCUGGGAAACUGGGAUUAAUACCGGAUGUGAUAAUAUGUAUAGAGAUGUAUUAUUAAAGUUGAGGCGCUUAGAGAUGGGUGUGCGUCUGAUUAGCUGGUUGGUAGGGUAACGGCCUACCAAGGCGACGAUCAGUAGGGGGCGUGAGAGCGUGGCCCCCCAACGGGUACUGAGACACGGACCCGACUCCUACGGGAGGCAGCAGUAAGGAAUAUUGGUCAAUGGACGGAAGUCUGAACCAGCCAUCCCGCGUGCAGGAAGAAGGUCCUAUGGAUUGUAAACUGCUUUUAGCAGAGACGAAGACCUUUCAUUUUAUGAGAGAGUGACGGUAUCUGCGGAAUAAGCACCGGCUAACUCCGUGCCAGCAGCCGCGGUAAUACGUCUA